AUACGGAGGAUCCGAGCGUUAUCCGGAUUUAUUGGGUUUAAAGGGUGCGCAGGCGGCCAUUUAAGUCAGCGGUUAAAUCGUGGGGCUCAACCCCAUUCUGCCGUUGAUACUGGGUGGCUUGAUUGCGGUCGAGGUUGGCGGAAUUCGUUGUGUAGCGGUGAAAUGCAUAGAUAUGACGAAGAACACCGAUUGCGUAGGCAGCUGACCAGACCGAAAAUGACGCUCAUGCACGAAAGUGCGGGGAUCGAACAGGAUUAGAUACCCUGGUAGUACGCACAGUAAACGAUGAAUACUUGUUUUCGGCGAUAUAAUGUCGGAGGCAAAGCGAAAGCGAUAAGUAUUCCACCUGGGGAGUACGCCGGCAACGGUGAAACUCAAAGGAAUUGACGGGG
rnacentral:rRNA from 1 species